rnacentral:rRNA from 1 species
CCUACGGGAGGCAGCAGUGAGGAAUAUUGGUCAAUGGACGCAAGUCUGAACCAGCCAUGCCGCGUGCAGGAAGACGGCUCUAUGAGUUGUAAACUGCUUUUGUACGAGGGUAAAUCCCGAUACGUGUAGCGGGUUGAAAGUAUCGUACGAAUAAGGAUCGGCUAACUCCGUGCCAGCAGCCGCGGUAAUACGGAGGAUUCAAGCGUUAUCCGGAUUUAUUGGGUUUAAAGGGUGCGUAGGCGGUUCGAUAAGUUAGAGGGGCAAUCCCGGGGCUCAACUCCGGCACUGCCUCUGAUACUGUCGGGCUAGAGUUUAGUUGCGGUAGGCGGAAUGUCUGGUGUAGCGG